rnacentral:tRNA from 2 species
AUUGAUUAAGAAGAAAUAUUCUUAUAAAUAGAUUUACAAUCUAUCGCCUAAACU